rnacentral:rRNA from 1 species
GGCGGCGUGCUUAACACAUGCAAGUCGGACGGUAAGGCCCUUCGGGGUACACGAGUGGCGAACGGGUGAGUAACACGUGGGUAAUCUGCCCUGCACAUCGGGAUAAGCCUGGGAAACUGGGUCUAAUACCGAAUAGGACCACAGAACACAUGUCCUGUGGUGGAAAGCUUUUGCGGUGUGGGAUGGGCCCGCGGCCUAUCAGCUUGUUGGUGGGGUGAUGGCCCACCAAGGCGACGACGGGUAGCCGGCCUGAGAGGGUGUCCGGCCACACUGGGACUGAGAUACGGCCCAGACUCCUACGGGAGGCAGCAGUGGGGAAUAUUGCACAAUGGGCGAAAGCCUGAUGCAGCGACGCCGCGUGGGGGAUGACGGCCUUCGGGUUGUAAACCUCUUUCACCAUCGACGAAGGUUCGGGUUUUCUCGGAUUGACGGUAGGUGGAGAAGAAGCACCGGCCAACUACGUGCCAGCAGCCGCGGUAAUACGUAGGGUGCGAGCGUUGUCCGGAAUUACUGGGCGUAAAGAGCUCGUAGGUGGUUUGUCGCGUUGUUCGUGAAAUCUCACGGCUUAACUGUGAGCGUGCGGGCGAUACGGGCAGACUUGAGUACUGCAGGGGAGACUGGAAUUCCUGGUGUAGCGGUGGAAUGCGCAGAUAUCAGGAGGAACACCGGUGGCGAAGGCGGGUCUCUGGGCAGUAACUGACGCUGAGGAGCGAAAGCGUGGGGAGCGAACAGGAUUAGAUACCCUGGUAGUCCACGCCGUAAACGGUGGGUACUAGGUGUGGGUUUCCUUCCUUGGGAUCCGUGCCGUAGCUAACGCAUUAAGUACCCCGCCUGGGGAGUACGGCCGCAAGGCUAAAACUCAAAGAAAUUGACGGGGGCCCGCACAAGCGGCGGAGCAUGUGGAUUAAUUCGAUGCAACGCGAAGAACCUUACCUGGGUUUGACAUGCACAGGACGCCGGCAGAGAUGUCGGUUCCCUUGUGGCCUGUGUGCAGGUGGUGCAUGGCUGUCGUCAGCUCGUGUCGUGAGAUGUUGGGUUAAGUCCCGCAACGAGCGCAACCCUUGUCUCAUGUUGCCAGCGGGUAAUGCCGGGGACUCGUGAGAGACUGCCGGGGUCAACUCGGAGGAAGGUGGGGAUGACGUCAAGUCAUCAUGCCCCUUAUGUCCAGGGCUUCACACAUGCUACAAUGGCCGGUACAAAGGGCUGCGAUGCCGCGAGGUUAAGCGAAUCCUUUUAAAGCCGGUCUCAGUUCGGAUCGGGGUCUGCAACUCGACCCCGUGAAGUCGGAGUCGCUAGUAAUCGCAGAUCAGCAACGCUGCGGUGAAUACGUUCCCGGGCCUUGUACACACCGCCCGUCACGUCAUGAAAGUCGGUAACACCCGAAGCCAGUGGCCUAACCCUUUGGGAGGGAGCUGUCGAAGGUGGGAUCGGCGAUUGGGACGAGGUCGUAACAAGGUAGCCG